CUGCCGUAUACUGGGGGAUAACACUUAGAAAUAGGUGCUAAUACCGCAUAAGCGCACAGCUUCGCAUGAAGUGGUGUGAAAAACUCUGGUGGUAUACGAUGGUUCCGCGUCUGAUUAGCUUGUUGGUGGGGUAAUGGCUCACCAAGGCGACGAUCAGUAGCCGGCCUGAGAGGGUGAACGGCCACAUUGGGACUGAGACACGGCCCAAACUCCUACGGGAGGCAGCAGUGGGGAAUAUUGCACAAUGGGGGAAGCCCUGAUGCAGCGACGCCGCGUGAGUGAAGAAGUAUUUCGGUAUGUAAAGCUCUAUCAGCAGGGAAGAAAUAGCGACCUUUGGGUCGCCAGACGGUACCUGAUUAAGAAGCCCCGGCUAACUACGUGCCAGCAGCCGCGGUAAUACGUAGGGGGCAAGCGUUAUCCGGAUUUACUGGGUGUAAAGGGAGCGUAGACGGCAGCACAAGUCUGAAGUGAAAUGCCGGGGCUUAACCCCGGAACUGCUUUGGAAACUGUGCAGCUAGAGUGCAGGAGAGGUAAGUGGAAUUCCUAGUGUAGCGGUGAAAUGCGUAGAUAUUAGGAGGAACACCAGUGGCGAAGGCGGCUUACUGGACUGUAACUGACGUUGAGGCUCGAAAGCGUGGGGAGCAACCAUGAAGAGAUACCCUGGUAGUCCACGCUGUAAACGAUGA
rnacentral:rRNA from 1 species